rnacentral:rRNA from 1 species
CGCGUAUGCAACCUGCCUUUUACAGAGGGAUAGCUUUCGGAAACGGAAAUUAAUACCUCAUAACACUGCGAUAAGGCAUCUUUUUGCAGUUAAAACUUUGGUGGUAAAAGAUGGGCAUGCGUAAUAUUAGCUAGUUGGUAAGGUAACGGCUUACCAAGGCUGCGAUAUUUAGGGGACCUGAGAGGGUGAUCCCCCACACUGGUACUGAGACACGGACCAGACUCCUACGGGAGGCAGCAGUGAGGAAUAUUGGUCAAUGGACGGAAGUCUGAACCAGCCAUCCCGCGUGCAGGAAGACGG